rnacentral:rRNA from 1 species
AUGCAGUCGAGCGGGGAGAGGUAGCUUGCUACCUGACCUAGCGGCGGACGGGUGAGUAAUGCUUAGGAAUCUGCCUAUUAGUGGGGGACAACAUUCCGAAAGGAAUGCUAAUACCGCAUACGCCCUACGGGGGAAAGCAGGGGAUCUUCGGACCUUGCGCUAAUAGAUGAGCCUAAGUCAGAUUAGCUAGUUGGUGGGGUAAAGGCCUACCAAGGCGACGAUCUGUAGCGGGUCUGAGAGGAUGAUCCGCCACACUGGGACUGAGACACGGCCCAGACUCCUACGGGAGGCAGCAGUGGGGAAUAUUGGACAAUGGGCGAAAGCCUGAUCCAGCCAUGCCGCGUGUGUGAAGAAGGCCUUUUGGUUGUAAAGCACUUUAAGCGAGGAGGAGGCUACUUGGAUUAAUACUCUAGGAUAGUGGACGUUACUCGCAGAAUAAGCACCGGCUAACUCUGUGCCAGCAGCCGCGGUAAUACAGAGGGUGCGAGCGUUAAUCGGAUUUACUGGGCGUAAAGCGUGCGUAGGCGGCUUUUUAAGUCGGAUGUGAAAUCCCUGAGCUUAACUUAGGAAUUGCAUUCGAUACUGGGAAGCUAGAGUAUGGGAGAGGAUGGUAGAAUUCCAGGUGUAGCGGUGAAAUGCGUAGAGAUCUGGAGGAAUACCGAUGGCGAAGGCAGCCAUCUGGCCUAAUACUGACGCUGAGGUACGAAAGCAUGGGGAGCAAACAGGAUUAGAUACCCUGGUAGUCCAUGCCGUAAACGAUGUCUACUAGCCGUUGGGGGCCUUUGAGGCUUUAGUGGCGCAGCUAACGCGAUAAGUAGACCGCCUGGGGAGUACGGUCGCAAGACUAAAACUCAAAUGAAUUGACGGGGCCCGCACAAGCGGUGGAGCAUGUGGUUUAAUUCGAUGCAACGCGAAGAACCUUACCUGGUCUUGACAUAGUAAGACUUUCCAGAGAUGGAUUGGUGCCUUCGGGAACUU